CAGUCGCCACGGUAAUACGGAGGGUGCAAGCGUUAUCCGGAUUUAUUGGGUUUAAAGGGUCCGUAGGCGGAUCUGUAAGUCAGUGGUGAAAUCUCACAGCUUAACUGUGAAACUGCCAUUGAUACUGCAGGUCUUGAGUAAAUUUGAAGUGGCUGGAAUAAGUAGUGUAGCGGUGAAAUGCAUAGAUAUUACUUAGAACACCAAUUGCGAAGGCAGGUCACUAAGAUUUAACUGACGCUGAUGGACGAAAGCGUGGGGAGCGAACAGGAUUAGAUACCCCGGUAGUCCCUGUCUCUUAUAC
rnacentral:rRNA from 1 species